rnacentral:rRNA from 1 species
GAUGAACGCUGGCGGCGCGCCUAACACAUGCAAGUCGAACGGAGUGGCGAACGGCUGCGUAACACGUGGGGAACCUGCCCACCUCGUGGGGAUAGCCUCGGUAAAACGAGGAUAUUACCCGCCAUCGAAGGAUGGGCCCGCGUCCUGUUAGCUAGUUGGUGGGGUAGAGGCCUACCAAGGCAAUGAUGGGUAGCUGGGUUGAGUGACCGACCAGCCAGAUUGGGACUGAGACACGGCCCAGACUCUGACGGGUGGCAGCAGUGGGGAAUCUUGCACAAUGGGCGAAAGCCUGAUGCAGCGACGCCGCGUGCGGGACGAAGGCCUUCGGGUUGUAAACCGCUUUCAGCAGGGACGCGGUACCUGCAGAAGAAGCCCCGGCGAACUACGUGCCAGCCGCCGCGGUAAUUC